CAUUCAACCCAGUGUCACGCUAAAGCGUGUAAUAGACACGCUGGUCCACUAGAGGAUGCGUGUCAAUGUCACGCUUUGCCUCCUCUAGGCGUGAAAAUGACACGCAUUUAUGAGGAUGAUAACCAAUAGGGGGCGAUAAUUUCCUCAUUGCCAACAACUUCAACAAGAGAAGCGACGCAGUGAUAUUGCGUUCUCUGGAGCUCCAUGGGUCCGGUCAUUACCCACCACCCUUCCCUGUUAACAUCACCCACAGUUUAUACUUUUUCUUAGAAAACCAACGGCUCUUUUAAGAGCCACUUCAAUAGACCCUUUUACAGCCCACGUGAUCAAAUAGCCUGCGUGCGCAUUUUGGCAACGGAAGUGAUGUUAUUUCCCAGUGGUUCUAACGUGUAAGCAACUCAGAAAGUUUAUUAAAACGAUUUCCCCACAUAAAAACGUCUGGUUGUAGCAUUUGGUUGCACUAAUAUAAUAUUCGUUUAGUAUUUGGCCAUCUUCUAACGUCUCCACUAUAGAACACGGAUCUGGUAACUGUGUAGAAGAUAAGUCAACUUUUUAAACUAACUUUUACAACUUCUGUGUUGCUUCACUGCUGAUUCUUGCCGUGCUUCCGUUGCCAAACUGCGUGCGCAUACGUUGCUACGUCAUCAUUGUGUACAAACAGUAAAAGGGUCACUCACUCACUCACUCUUUCGCAAGCUUCUCUGUUUUCAAUAUUGUUGAAAUGGCUGCUGAGCAAGACAGAGGGAGAGCAGAGGGUGUUAUUUUCAUAGCAGACAUGCUUCUUGCUCAAAUCAAGAAGGAGCUUCAAGCAGCCACAAACGGAGAGUUCUUUUGAACAGAUAUUGCUUGCAAGUAUUGGCCAUACCUUGAGAAGGCGUCAGUCUCCAUGUUGGAACUCAGACCUUUACUGCAGAUGAGACCUUUCCUUUCUGUCAUGCAUGCCAAGGCUCAUUCAACCAAGUGUCAGGUAAUGCAUAU